rnacentral:rRNA from 1 species
UGCAUAUCAWAAGCGGAGGAAAAGAAACUAACAAGGAUUCCCCUAGUAACUGCGAGUGAAGCGGGAAAAGCUCAAAUUUAAAAUCUGAUGGCCUUUGGUUAUCCGAGUUGUAAUUUAGAGAAGCGUUUUCCGCGCUGGACCAUGCAUAAGUCUCCUGGAAUGGAGCGUCAUAGAGGGUGAGAAUCCCGUCUUUGGCAUGGAUCCCAGGGCUUCUGUGAUGCGCUCUCAAAGAGUCGAGUUGUUUGGGAAUGCAGCUCAAAAUGGGUGGUGAACUCCAUCUAAAGCUAAAUAUUGGCGAGAGACCGAUAGCGAACAAGUACCGUGAGGGAAAGAUGAAAAGCACUUUGGAAAGAGAGUGAAACAGUACGUGAAAUUGUUGAAAGGGAAACGCUUGAAGUCAGUCGCGUUGACCGAGACUCAGCCUUGCCUCGGCUUGGUGUACUUCUCGGCUGACGGGUCAGCAUCAAUUUUGAUCCUUGGAUAAUGGCAAGGGAAAGGUGGCACCUUUAGGUGUGUUAUAGUCCUUUGUCGGAUACAAGGGUUGGGAUUGAGGAACUCAGCAUGCACCUCACGGUGUCGGGGCCUCUGGCUCACGUUACAUGCUUAGGAUGCUGGCGUAAUGGCUUUAAACGACCCGUCUUG